rnacentral:rRNA from 1 species
GAUGAACGCUGGCGGCGUGCCUAAUACAUGCAAGUCGAGCGGACAGACCAGCUUCUUCCUCCGGUUACGUGAUCGUCGAACGGGGAAGUGACACGUAGAUCACCUGCCUUUUGGACUCGAAUAACUUCUGGGAACGGGAGCUAAUACCGGAUAAUAGAUUGAACCGCAGGGUUCAAUAGUGAAAGACAGAUUUUCUGUUACUGGUAGGGGGAUCCGCGCCGGCUUAGCUAGUUGGUAGGGUAACGGCUUACUAAGGCAACGGUGGGUAGCCGACCGGAGAGGGUGAUCGGCGACACUGGAACUGAGACAGGGUCCAGACUCCGACGGGAGGCAGAAGUAGGGAAUGUUCCGCAAUGGGCGAAAGCCUGACGCAGCAACGGCGCGUGAGUGAGGAAGGUGUCCGGAUCGGAAAACUCUGUUACUAGGGAAGAACAAAUGUGUAAGUAACUAUGCAGGUCUUGACGGUACUGGAACAGAAAGCACCGGCUAACUACGUG